rnacentral:rRNA from 1 species
CGCGUAGGCGGGCCGCCAAGUCCGGGUGAAAGCCCCCAGCUUAACUGGGGAAGUGCCUCGGAUACUGGCGAUCUCGAGGAUGGUAGGGGCAUCUGGAACAGCCGGUGGAGCGGUGAAAUGCGUUGAUAUCGGCUGGAACUCCGAUGGCGAAGGCAAGGUGCUGGACCAUUUCUGACGCUGAGGCGCGAAAGCCAGGGAGCAACG